rnacentral:tRNA from 1 species
UUUGGGGACAUAGCUCAGUUGGUAGAGUGCUUGCCUCCCAUGCACAAGGCCUUGAGUUCAAUCUCCAACACCACAAAA